AUUGAACGCUGGCGGCAGGCCUAACACAUGCAAGUCGAGCGGAUGAAGGGAGCUUGCUCCUGGAUUCAGCGGCGGACGGGUGAGUAAUGCCUAGGAAUCUGCCUGGUAGUGGGGGAUAACGUCCGGAAACGGGCGCUAAUACCGCAUACGUCCUGAGGGAGAAAGUGGGGGAUCUUCGGACCUCACGCUAUCAGAUGAGCCUAGGUCGGAUUAGCUAGUUGGUGGGGUAAAGGCCUACCAAGGCGACGAUCCGUAACUGGUCUGAGAGGAUGAUCAGUCACACUGGAACUGAGACACGGUCCAGACUCCUACGGGAGGCAGCAGUGGGGAAUAUUGGACAAUGGGCUAAAUCCUGAUCCAGCCAUGCCGCGUGUGUGAAGAAGGUCUUCGGAUUGUAAAGCACUUUAAGUUGGGAGGAAGGGCAGUAAGUUAAUACCUUGCUGUUUUGACGUUACCAACAGAAUAAGCACCGGCUAACUUCGUG
rnacentral:rRNA from 1 species